GGUCAUGAGAGUGAGAGCCCGGAGACGGACUCUGAGACACGAGUCCGGGCCCUACGGGGCGCAGCAGGCGCGAAACCUUUACACUGCACGACAGUGCGAUAGGGGGACACCGAGUGCGAGGGCAUAGAGCCCUCGCUUUUCUGAACCUUAAGGUGGUUCAGGAACAAGGGCUGGGCAAGACCGGUGCCAGCCGCCGCGGUAACACCGGCAGCCCAAGUGAUGGCCGAUUUUAUUGGGCCUAAAGCGUCCGUAGCUGGCCGCGCAAGUUCGUCGGGAAAUCCACGCGCUUAACGUGUGGGCGUCCGGCGAAAACUGUGCGGCUUGGGACCGGAAGAUCUGAGGGGUACGUCUGGGGUAGGAGUGAAAUCCCGUAAUCCUGGACGGACCACCGAUGGCGAAAGCACCUCAGAAGGACGGAUCCGACAGUGAGGGACGAAAGCUAGGGUCUCGAACCGGAUUAGAUACCCGGGUAGUCCUAGCCGUAAACGAUGCUCGCUAGGUGUGGCACAGGCUACGAGCCUGUGCUGUGCCGUAGGGAAGCCGUGAAGCGAGCCGCCUGGGAAGUACGUCUGCAAGGAUGAAACUUAAAGGAAUUGGCGGGGGAGCACUACAACCGGAGGAGCCUGCGGUUUAAUUGGACUCAACGCCGGACAUCUCACCAGCUCCGACAGCAGUAAUGACGAUCAGGUUGAUGACCUUAUUCGAGCUGCUGAGAGGAGGUGCAUGGCCGCCGUCAGCUCGUACCGUGAGGCGUCCUGUUAAGUCAGGCAACGAGCGAGACCCGCACCUCUAGUUGCCAGCAGCAUCUCGCGAUGGCUGGGUACACUAGGGGGACUGCCGUCGCUAAGACGGAGGAAGGAACGGGCAACGGUAGGUCAGUAUGCCCCGAAUGAGCUGGGCUACACGCGGGCUACAAUGGCCAAGACAAUGGGAUGCGACACCGAGAGGUGGAGCUAAUCUCCUAAACUUGGUCGUAGUUCGGAUUGUGGGCUGAAAUUCGCCCACAUGAAGCUGGAUUCGGUAGUAAUCGCGUGUCACAAGCGCGCGGUGAAUACGUCCCUGCUCCUUGCACACACCGCCCGUCAAAGCACCCGAGUGGGGUCCGGAUGAGGCCUGGUUCCCAGGUCGAAUCUGGGCUCCGCAAGGGGGCUU
rnacentral:rRNA from 1 species